UAGUAUGUAAGUCGCAUAAAUAAAUUUAUUAAAAUAUAGUCGCUAUAGUUGACUCCGCAAAGAGUUCAUUGUCAAUCCAGACGAUACUGAUCAGCCUAGUUCUAGUGGAGUCACCACUUAACGGUAAUGCUGUAUACUUGUAUGCGACUGAAAAGCAACAGCGGCAUUGCCUAUCUGAAAUGGGGAAGCUGCUUUUUACUAAUAGUUGCUGUUACCAGAAAUACGUAGGUUAAUACUGAUGAGGGUAGGUUGCACAAAGGCCAUAAAGCUGGCGUUCGCCAAUCCAUUUCAUAAUUAACAUUCAAAAAUAAAUUGUUUAAUUUAUUUAAUAAACAGAAUGAAGACACAUACUCUUCGCAAAGUAUCAUAUUUAAACAGUGGGGCGGAGAUGGCAAAUUAAGAACUGCAGCCUCAAUGAAACCGGUUUCAAAUUUCGACUUGCUCUUUUCUGGUCAACAUUUUAGGUAUACUUACUUAGUGUAAUUUAACACUGGAAUAACAAAAAUUA